GACAGAGGUGCCGAGCGUUAGGCGGAAUCACUGGGCUUAAAGCGUGUGUAGGCGGGACCGUAAGUACCUUGUGAAAUCCCACGGCUCAACCGUGGAACGGCUGGGUAUACUGCGGUUCUUGAGCCACCUAGGGGCAACCGGAACAAAUGGUGGAGCGGUGAAAUGCGUAGAUAUCAUUUGGAACGCCAAUGGUGAAAACAGGUUGCUGGGGGUGUGCUGACGCUGAGACACGAAAGCCAGGGGAGCGAACGGG
rnacentral:rRNA from 1 species